UACGGGGGGGGCAAGCGUUGUUCGGAAUUACUGGGCGUAAAGGGUUCGUAGGUGGCCUGCUAAGUCAGACGUGAAAUCCCUCAGCUCAACUGGGGAACUGCGUCUGAGACUGGCAGGCUUGAGUGCAGGAGAGGAACGCGGAAUUCCAGGUGUAGCGGUGAAAUGCGUAGAUAUCUGGAGGAACACCGGUGGCGAAGGCGGCCUGCUGGGCAGUAGCCGAAAGGCUUUCAAGCUGACACUGAGGCGCGACAGCGUGGGGAGCAAACAGG
rnacentral:rRNA from 1 species